rnacentral:rRNA from 1 species
AUGCAGUCGAGCGAGGCUCCGCCCUUCGGGGUGGAUGUCCUAGCGGCAAACGGCUGAGUAACGCGUGGGUGAUCUACCCCAGAGAGGGGAAUAACCCGCCGAAAGGCGGACUAAUUCCGCAUACGCUCCACCGUGUAAAGGCAGUGGUGGAAAGGGUUCCGGGCAACCGGGGCCGCUCUGGGAGGAGCUCGCGUCCUAUCAGGUUGUUGGUGGGGUAACGGCCUACCAAAUGCCGAAGACGGGUAGCUGGUGUGAGAGCACGACCAGCCAGAGGGGGACUGAGACACGGCCCCCACUCCUACGGGAGGCAGCAGCAGGGAAUCUUGCACAAUGGGCGAAAGCCUGAUGCAGCGACGCCGCGUGAGGGACGAAGGCUUUAGGGUUGUAAACCUCUUUUCUCAGGGAAGAGCAAGGACGGUACCUGAGGAAUAAGCCACGGCUAACUACGUGCCAGCAGCCGCGGUAAUACGUAGGUGGCAAGCGUUGUCCGGAAUUAUUGGGCGUAAAGGGUCCGUAGGCUGUUUUGUAAGUCUCCUGUGAAAACUCCAGGCUCAACUUGGAGCGGUCGGGGGAUACUGCGAGACUAGAGGCUGUCAGAGGAAAGCGGAAUUCCCGGUGUAGUGGUGAAAUGCGUAGAUAUCGGGAGGAACAUCAGUGGCGAAAGCGGCUUUCUGGGACAGUUCUGACGCUGAGGGACGAAAGCGUGGGGAGCAAACCGGAUUAGAUACCCGGGUAGUCCACGCCCUAAACGAUGGAUGCUAGGUUUGUGGGGUAUCGACCCCCUGCGAGCCAAAGCUAACGCGAUAAGCAUCCCGCCUGGGGACUACGGCCGCAAGGCUAAAACUCAAAGGAAUUGACGGGGGCCCGCACAAGCAGCGGAGCGUGUGGUUU